rnacentral:rRNA from 1 species
GUUUGACGUUAGCGACAGAAGAAGCACCGGCUAACUCCGUGCCAGCAGCCGCGGUAAUACGGAGGGUGCGAGCGUUAAUCGGAAUUACUGGGCGUAAAGCGCAUGCAGGUGGUUUGUUAAGUUCAGAUGUGAAAGACCCGGGGCGUCAACCUCGGAAUUGCAUUUGAAACUGGCAGACUAGAGUACUGUAGAGGGGGGUAGGAAUUUCAGGUGUAGCGGUGAAAUGCGUAGAGAUCUGAAGGAAUACCGGUGGCGAAGGCGGCCCCCUGGACAGAUACUGACACUCAGGUGCGAAAGCGUGGGGAGCAAACAGGAUUAGAUACCCUGGUAG